UACAGAGGGGGCGAGCGUUAUUCGGAAUUAUUGGGCGUAAAGGGCGCGUAGGCGGCUUGACAAGUCCAAGGUGAAAUCCCUCGGCUCAACCGAGGAACUGCCUUGGAAACUGUCUGGCUCGAGGCCGGGAGAGGGUAGUGGAAUUCUCGGUGUAGCGGUGAAAUGCGUAGAUAUCGAGAGGAACACCUGCGGCGAAGGCGGGUUGCUGGGCUGACACUGACGCUGAGGCGCGAAAGCUAGGGGAGCGAACGGG
rnacentral:rRNA from 1 species